GAAAAUCCGUUGGCUUUAUUGACCGUGAGGGUUCAAGUCCC
rnacentral:tRNA from 37 species